AAAGAACAAGAAGGCUUCUUUGCUGUUAUCAUACAUAUCUAUCUAUAAAAUGUAACGUAUUUCAAGUACCAUCCAGAUUGAAAACUACAAUGGAAAUCUUUUAAAAUGCCCAUGUCUCAGGAUGAAGAUCAUUAAAGUUCCAUAGCUCUGGUUCUGAUUCUAUUUCACUUGUUGAUCCAUUGAUAAAUCUGUUCAGUCUCUCACUUACUUUUGCAGCUCCAAAACUGAAA
rnacentral:misc_RNA from 1 species